UACUGACAUGGCGAUGCUACACUAACCAGACCGGUGUCCCAGCCAGUGGUCUCCGUGUCAGCACCUCACUGCAACUUCUGACCAGAGUGCUUAAGAACAGAAGAAAAGAAAGAGAAAAAAACUCCAGGCUGCAGAAUUGCCUACAUAUAAAAAUCCAAAAUAAUUGAACAGGCUGACCAAUCUGAAUUAAUUAGAUUAUCAAGGUGGCAGGUUAUCAGAUCACCAUUCAGACUUAAAAAAAAGAUUAUUUCAUGUGUAUGCCAGGAGCAUGUGUAUGUGCAACGCAUGUGCAUGCAGUACCUGAAGAGACCAGAAGAGGGCGUUGGAUCUCCCGGAACUAGAGGUACAAGCGAGUGGGUGUCAUCUGAUAGGAAUGCUGGGGACCAAAUGGGUCCUCUGCAAGAGCAGCAGACAGCAAAGUUCUUAAACAUCG
rnacentral:lncRNA from 1 species